rnacentral:rRNA from 1 species
UCAGGCCUAACACAUGCAAGUCGAACUAGCUCUAGCGCAAGUUAGAGUGGGUGGCGGACGGGUGAGGAACACGUAAGAACCUACCCCUCGGAGGAGGAUAACUGCUGGAAACGGCAGCUAAUACUCCAUAUGCUGAGGAGUGAAAGAUCGAAAGAUCGCCGGGGGACGGGCUUGCGUCUGAUUAGCUAGUUGGUGAGGUAAAUGCUUACCAAGGCGACGAUCAGUAGCUGGUCUGAGAGGAUGAUCAGCCACACUGGGACUGAGACACGGCCCAGACUCCUACGGGAGGCAGCAGUGAGGAAUUUUCCUCAAGGGGCGAAAGCCUGACGGAGCAAUGCCGCGUGAAGUAAAGGAGCCUGUGGGUUGUAAACUUCUUUUCUCAGAGACGAAGAU